UACGUAGGGUGCAAGCGUUAAUCGGAAUUACUGGGCGUAAAGCGUGCGCAGGCGGUGAUGUAAGACAGGUGUGAAAUCCCCGGGCUUAACCUGGGGACUGCAUUUGUGACUGCAUUGCUGGAGUGCGGCAGAGGGGGAUGGAAUUCCGCGUGUAGCAGUGAAAUGCGUAGAUAUGCGGAGGAACACCGAUGGCGAAGGCAAUCCCCUGGGCCUGCACUGACGCUCAUGCACGAAAGCGUGGGGAGCAAACAGG
rnacentral:rRNA from 1 species